rnacentral:lncRNA from 1 species
UGUUUUUGCUACAAAAGAGGCCAUAUGACCAUUUAUUAAAAUCAACAGUAUUUACAAAAGUUUGAAGCCCAAAGAAAAUAAAGCAAAGAAAAGGUACUAGGGUCCAAGAGCCCAUGAUUCGAAAAAGUAAAAUAAAUAAAUAAAAAACAAAAAACAAAUAAAAAGGAAAGUUCGGAUUUAGAAAGCCAUCAACAUAGAACUUCCAAUCUCGUCUCCAUCUUCCUGAAAUUCCAUGGCCAUGAGUUUGACGCGCGUGUCGAUGAGCACAAAGCUAAGGAAAAAACUUUUUCAUCACAAUAGUUGAUACAUGAUCUAAUGAUCAAACGAGCUUGGAGCAAUUUGACUGAAGACACUUUAAAAUCUCACUAGUGACAUGAAAUUCAAACCAAAAAUGACUUUUUUCAACUCAUUUUGCAUAAACUCGAGCAGUAUAUGUGCAAGUAAAGACAUUUCACCCCCCAAAGUGUUAUUCGAUAACUAAUGACAAUUUUUUUUCUUAGCAGAUUGAGCCUCGUAGAGGCUAAUUCCACUGCUAAAGAGAACAAAGAUCACAUAUUUGUCAUCUUACAAAUCCAUUUUCUUAGAUCUGAGCUACAUGAGCUAUUUGAAAGUUUGAUUGCCUCCAUUGAUGCUUGGAUACUAUUUUUCUGACUGUUUGUAUGUUGCUCUAGAAAUUCAUAGUAUGUGGAUUUCCUGUACGUGUUAAUUUGUUAGUGAAUUGAAAACUUUUUGUCUUGGCACUUUUGGAAUAUGAGAUUAGGAGUAUGAGUUUUUUCAAGAUUAAUAAUUGCUUUUCCUUGUGAGGGCACCUCUUGAAUAAAUGAAUAUGAAAUACUUCGUGUACCUAUAAAAAAGAAAACUUGAUUAGCAAAAGAUCUGUUAGUGUGUUCCUUUCUCUGAAUGUGUGUUCCACUUCCACCUUCAUGUUAACCUUCAAUCUCUAGAUCAUUUUUACCUCCACCAAGGGACUUCCCAUAUUCCAUGUAAAACCUUUGUUAACAUUAGUAAUCACUAACACAACAAGCCAUAGAUAGUGUGAGAUGCAAUACUACAGCUACAUUCUCAAUGCUAUUGUUUCUUCCAUUAAAUUUGUGUCAUACUCUAAUCUUAUAGACUCAACAUACACCAGAUUUCCUUCCUCAUCUCUUUUACAGAAAACAUUCAUGUCGAGGCUCGAAUUUUCUUUAGAUGCUCUAUUUGAAUUGCAUUUGAAGAACCUAGCUCAGGUAUAUUCCAAUUAACCUUUUCACAGUCAAUAAUAGGUAUAUACUCCUCAAAGAACUUCACAAUCUAGGGCCAUGUACUAGGGAUAAACUUCAACCAAGGGUACCUACUCUUUGUCAACACAUGAAGGUUUGUGUUAACUUCUAAUACCAUACUAUUAUAAGACAUUUUUACCCUCUUGAAAUAUGAUGGUUCUUCUCUUCCAUAUCUGUCAUACAAUAAAUGUUGGCAUAACCCUGAGCAUAGACUUAAGUUUAGAUGUACACUAUGCAUUCCAUCAGUUAAAAAUAUCUCCUUAAGAUACAAAAAAGGAUCUUGCACAGCCGAUGAAUCAAAAAACAUACUCCAAUCUUUCUAGCCAUAGUAUAAGAAAUAAAAAUAUGUUCAAAAGUCCCUAAAUCAAAUCUAUCAUUGCAGCAAUAAUGAAUUUCAUCAUCACCACUAAAUCUCAUUUGAACUUCCCUAAUAGGUUUUCUCUUUUUGCAUAGUCUACAUAAGAAAAAGGAAAUUUUAAAAGGCACUCCUUUAUCCCAUAUAAUCUUAAAAUCUUCUUUGACUUCUCUUUUUUAUCUCACUAAGUCCCAGACACUUCUCACUGGGAACUUUCCUGAACUAUUCAACAUCCACCAAGACUUGUACCAUUCAUCAAUGUAUUUCAUGGUUUGGUUCCAACUUUAUUCUUGUUAUGUUUUGAUGAUUGACAAAUCUUAUUGCUAUAAUCUAGUUCAUACAAUGUUUGAUUAUUACGUAUGUUCAACUAUUUGCCUAACUUGGUAGAAGGACCAGUUACAAGAACUAGUGUCCUAAUAUGUGGUUUUAUAGCUACACACAUUUGUCCUAUGUGCCAACUAUCUAGUACUUUUCUAGACAAUGUCAACAUAUUAGUGGGAUAAAUUUUCAGUGGUCCAUCUAGCAUCCACUAAUGAGGAAACUUCUCUCCCAACGAUCUUCAUAUAUAUAUAUAUAUAACACAUACACACAUACAUAAUAUCCUUGAGGAGAGAAGCUUAAGAUUUUACACAAAUAAAAAAGAUUUUUUCUCAAAGUAAAAGCUUUAGCUGAUAGUGCAAGACUUAACAACUUAGAAAUUCCUUACUCUUAGUGAUAUAUGUUUUCGUUUCUAGGUUGAUUGGGGUUCUUGUUGUGGUAUUACAAUUGUAAACUAACAUAUCAUUCUAAAGAUUCCAGUGAGCAGUUUCCGUUCAACUUUUGUUCAAAGAGUGAGUUGUUUGAUCUUAGGUGGAUUUAUGUACCUAAGUGUUGUUAUCUAGCCUUAUUUAACUUAGUUUUGAGGACUUCUUGUGUGCGUAAUGAGUUAAUAUUGUAAAAAUGAGUAUCUAAGUGUUACAUUAUGUGUUUAUGAUGUUUAAUGUGUGUUAAAGCAAAAGUUGAAAUUAAAACGUUCAAUUAGAAUUCAAAUGAGAAAACUAGUACUCUUAGCUUGAGCUAUGUACCAUUCUAGUUUGUUUCGUUAGAUUCUAUGAUAUUAUUAGCUCUAAUUCGUGGGAUUUGAUGAUGUAUGAAGCUUGAUGUAUGGAUGAUAAACAAUCUAUUAUUGAA